GUGUGUGGUGUAAUGGUUUGAGCAUUGGAUUACAACUGUAGAGGCCAGGGUUCGAAUCCCAGCUCAGCCA